rnacentral:lncRNA from 1 species
CGAUACCUACAAAGAUAUUCUUAAACUCUUACAAUAAAUUGUUUUGAUUUGCAAAGAAACGAGAGUGAUCUAGCAAAAGGAGAGAGGAAAAUGGGCCACAGAAGUUGAAGUAAAAGAUUUUCAUUCACAGCGAUAGUGAAGUUACACCUGGGACUCUUUUUAAAUGUUUACCUAUAUUAAAGGCUUAUCAAGAUAGUGUAAAAUGCCUUGUUCAAUCUUUUUUAACUUCCCAGUAUUAGCUUCUAGAACUCACAGCUGAGAGCAAAGGCCACUAUAUGUUCUGCAUUCUAAAUUCACAGAGAACUUCAGGCUGGGGUGCCAGUUACCUCCCCAAAGGACUUGCUGAAAGGUGCCAUUUGAGCAGUAUCAGAGAUAGCAGUUUGGUAUGAAGUAAUAUAUGUCCACAAAUAAAAUACAGCUAAAACAAAAUUCAUAGUCUGUCGAAAACAAUCAACAGAAGGGUGAGUAAAUCAAAUAUUGGAUUAAUUUUAUUAAACCUUUACAUAUGAUCAAAUUACGUAACUACCGUCCUAUCUCACACUG